CUGCAUCUCCCACCUCCAGAACCGCCACGGCCCUCCUGUCACCGGCGCCUUCCACCACCACGACGGAGUCGCUCUCGGCCGUCUGUGGAAGCUCCACUCCCUUCUGGCAGAUUAAAUGACCUGCGAAAGCCGGGAUGAGAAACACCAAGUUGUGAUACAUAAACAGAUGGAAGUUUUUACAGGCAUACAAGGCUAACUAGCCAAGUGUGAAAACAGCUAAUUGGAAUGACGGCGAUGUACCCCGCGUCCCCGCCACGUGUGCGUAGGCGGGCGGGCUCGCUUGUGUGCCGGUCCGACAUGCCCGAGUGGAGAGUCUAAUGUCGGAUUUCUUGAUUUGCCUGUCAGAGAAGCAGCGAUAGCAGCAGUUGUGACAGAGCCAGAGGCAACACUGAUGUGCCACACAGUAAUCUAGCAGUCUGCUGCCGCCUCUCCUUCGUCGUCCUGAUCCCCUCUUUCUUACCUAAUAAGACAGCUUUACAAGACAGAAAGUCAACCCGUCCACCAAGCGUGCUACCACAUUUCCAUCUUCUGACGGAGCAUGGCUGAAUGCGCGUCUUUCUCCUUUGAUUCGCCAUUGAAAUACAGUAAGCUUGAUCAAUUG